UGGCUCAGUUGGUAUAGAAUCUGCCUGCAAUGCAGGAGACCCAGGUUCAAUCCCUGG
rnacentral:tRNA from 1 species